UACAGAGGGUGCUAGCGUUGUUCGGAAUCAUUGGGCGUAAAGGGCGUGUAGGCGGUUUGUUAAGUCAUGUGUGAAAUCCCUCGGCUCAACCGGGGAACGACGCAUGAAACUGGCAAGCUAGAGUACCAAAGAGGGGGGUGGAAUUCCCGGUGUAGCGGUGAAAUGCGUAGAUAUCUGGAGGAAUACCGGUGGCGAAGGCGGCAUCCUGGACCGGCAUUGACGCUGAAAAGCGAAAGCCAGGGGAGCAAACGGG
rnacentral:rRNA from 1 species